ACAUUUGGACAAAUAACCACAAAACCAGGAGAUUUGAUGCAGAAUUUGAAGGUUAUGACUAAAUGCUGGUGACCUGUCCAGAGUGUACCCUGCCACUUAACGAAUGGGAGCUGGCAUAUGAAAAGUGAGAGAGGAGGCAGAGUGCACACACACACACACACACACACACACACACACACACACACACACACACACACACACACGCAGAUUUACAUUUAUUUCCUGGACACUUGCACUUGAUAAACAUAACUACUACUUUCUUGAAAGGCUAAUCUAAAAGUAACCUAAAAUUUGUCUUCAUCUCAAAAUUUAAAGCCCGACAUUAUAGAGACAUGCUUUUUGUCUCAUCAUAUUGACCUCAUCUGUAAGUAUAACAUAGAAGAAAAAAAGAUUAUACCAUUUUCUACAUAUAUUUGUGUAUGUUCCUGUUGUCUACAAACUGUCAGUGGAAGUGGACCCUCUUUCACGUUCUGCUGUCUCUGUUUGUUGUGUGUUUAAAGGAGAGACUUUGAAACUAACAACAUGAACUCAAAGCAGGAGGACGAGCGAGCUCUGAGCACCACGCUCACCUGGAAACUCAAAGAACACCAGGGACGCAUUGAGGAGCUGGAGGAGGAGCUGGAAGCUGAACGAGCCAUGAGAGCCAAGGUACACGGACAGCUUGUAUCACAGCUUUAACCAGCAGUUUCAUCUUUGAGAGGCUAUAUCAGUCCAAACGUGAUACAAACCUGACCACUACACAUACGUAUUCAAGUAUAAAUACGCAGGCAUAUGACAUUAUGCUACAGCUAGAGAGUAAAGUUGUUUUCAUGUUAAGUAGAGAAGCACAGAGCAGAGCUGUCAUGAGAUCUGGUGGACCUCAGUGACAGACCGGAAGAAGUGGGAGAUCUCAACAUCAGCGUGAAAGCUGCUCAGAAAGCAAAGCUAGAUCUUUACAAUCUUGUGCGCUUAACUCUUUCAAAAUAAAACACCCACAAACAUAGACGCUCAACCACUCUUAUAGAUGAACUCUGAGGCCCAUGCCCGCAAAGUGGAGGACAGCGUGGCAGAGGCAAACGCUCGCCUGGCUGAGAUGGAGCGCACUCAGACAGAGCUCAGGCUGCCAAAAUCCAUCUGACUGGUGAGAAGGUGGAUGCAUGCGUUACUGUUC
rnacentral:lncRNA from 1 species